rnacentral:lncRNA from 1 species
CAAUUUCGUGCUAUUAAGUAGGCUUCUCAUACUACUCUAAGUGGAAAGACAAGAAGAGGAAAGAAAAGUACAUAUUCCACUCUUUGGAGAUGGUGAGCUGGAUUUUUCACAAGGCUCUGAGGAGAGGAAGGCUAGGUUUUCAAACAGUUUCACACUUAUGGACCAUCCUCGCACCUGAAGAAUGUGGGAAUGAUGAGCCCUGCUGGAAUCUAAACCAAUCUGCCCUUCACUUCAGACUCCCAAAUGCUUGCUCCACAGCAUGAUGCCUUGUUGGGAUUGAGGUGGUUUUUUGUUUUUUUUUUUCCCCCUCUUCUUUUUUUUCAAGAGUCGGGUUUUGGCACCAUUUCUGUCGGUUGCACUGGAACAUAAGAGGAGAGUAGCUACAGGUAACAGAUUAUUUUUAAUUCUGUCUUGUUAUUUGGAACUGAUUUCCCAUAUGUUGUUGUUGUUC